rnacentral:sRNA from 1 species
GGUCAGGAGGGUGAUACGAUUGAGACAGGAUCACUGGACUGGUGUGGUUGGCUGGCUGGGUUCUGCUUCCCCUCUAAUUCCAUGUGUCUCCCUCCACAGAUUGGCCCUGAGUGGAGAAAGGCAGAGAUUCCCAGGGAGGAGGGUUAUUCUUAGGUCAAGGGUAGAGAAGUUGAUGCAACCAACCCCCAGCUUGAAUCACAAAGCAAUCUCUUGCCCGCAAGACUGCAAGGGCUUUGAACUCUGAAUCCCCUCUGCAUUCUU